rnacentral:rRNA from 1 species
ACUCAAAUGAAUAGACGGGGACCCGCACAAGCGGUGGAUGAUGUGGAUUAAUUCGAUGCAACGCGAAGAACCUUACCUGCUUUUGACAUGCUAGGAAUCCUUAAGAGAUUAGGGAGUGCCGCAAGGAGCUUAGACACAGGUGCUGCAUGGCUGUCGUCAGCUCGUGUCGUGAGAUGUUGUCUUAAGUGACGCAACGAGCGCAACCCUCGCUACUAUUUGCCAAGAUUAGAUUCGGAACUAUAGUAGGACAGCUGGCGGAUAAGCCAGAGGAAGGUGGGGAUGACGUCAAGUCCUCAUGGCCUUUAUGAGCAGGGCUUCACACGUCAUACAAUGGUAGGUACAGAGGGCGGCGAACCCGUGAGGGGGAGCGAAUCCUAGGAAAGCCUAUCGUAGUCCGGAUUGUACUCUGCAACUCGAGUGCAUGAAGUUGGAAUCGCUAGUAAUCGCGGAUCAGCAUGCUGCGGUGAAUACGUUCUCGGGUCUUGUACACACCGCCCGU